rnacentral:rRNA from 1 species
UACAGAGGUCCCGAGCGUUGUUCGGAUUCACUGGGCGUAAAGGGUGCGUAGGUGGUGAGGUAAGUCGGAUGUGAAAUCUCCGAGCUCAACUCGGAAAUGGCAUUGGAAACUACCUUGCUCGAGGGUUGGAGGGGGGACUGGAAUACUUGGUUUAGCAGUGAAAUGCGUAGAUAUCAAGUGGAACACCAGUGGCGAAGGCGAGUCCCUGGACAACUCCUGACACUGAGGCACGAAAGCUAGGGGAGCAAACAGG